rnacentral:lncRNA from 1 species
CAGGAGCCAUUAAAGCCACUGACCAUCUGGUGAGAACCAACUGGGGCAUCAAAGGAAUCCCGAUUGGAGAGAGAGAGCGGGUCCAUCAGGAUUCAGACCAAACUUCCCCAUAAUACGCCGACCGAAACAUGAUUCAUAGCAAAGAGAGGAGCAAGGAAUAGAGGGAGUGAGCUAAUCCAUAAGACUCAACUCGUUAGAAAGAGUGAGAGAGGCGUGGUACGAGAGAGAGCAUUUUAAGGUGAAUAAGGCUAAAAGAGAAAGGAGUAGUGCCUCAUGUCCCUCAAUAAAAACCAUGGAAUGAACGGCGAGAAAGAGAAAGGCUCAAAGUAGGUUACCAUGUGCUCAAAGUAGGCUACCAUGUGCUCAAAGUAGGUUACCAUGAGACAAAGGCAUGAGUGCGAGAGAGUGACCAUUUUAAAG